UAACCGUGGUAAUUCUAGAGCUAAUACAUGCUAAAAACCCCAACUUCGGGAGGGGUGUAUUUAUUAGAUAAAAAACCAAUGCCCUUCGGGGCUCCUUGGUGAAUCAUAAUAACUUAACGGAUCGCAUGGCCUUGCGCCGGCGACGGUUCAUUCAAAUUUCUGCCCUAUCAACUUUCGAUUGUAGGGUAUUGGCCUACAAUGGUAUCAACGGGUAACGGGGAAUUAGGGUUCGAUUCCGGAGAGGGAGCCUGAGAAACGGCUACCACAUCCAAGGAAGGCAGCAGGCGCGCAAAUUACCCAAUCCCGACGCGGGGAGGUAGUGACAAUAAAUACUGAUACAGGGCUCUUUUGGGUCUUGUAAUUGGAAUGAGUACAAUUUAAAUCCCUUAACGAGGAACAAUUGGAGGGCAAGUCUGGUGCCAGCAGCCGCGGUAAUUCCAGCUCCAAUAGCGUAUAUUAAAGUUGUUGCAGUUAAAAAGCUCGUAGUUGAACCUUGGGCCUGGCUGGCCGGUCCGCCUCACCGCGUGCACUGGUCCGGCCGGGCCUUUCCUUCUGGAGAGCCGCAUGCCCUUCACUGGGUGUGUCGGGGAACCAGGACUUUUACUUUGAAAAAAUUAGAGUGUUCAAAGCAGGCCUUUGCUCGAAUACAUUAGCAUGGAAUAAUAGAAUAGGACGUGCGGUCCUAUUUUGUUGGUUUCUAGGACCGCCGUAAUGAUUAAUAGGGAUAGUCGGGGGCAUCAGUAUUCAAUUGUCAGAGGUGAAAUUCUUGGAUUUAUUGAAGACUAACUACUGCGAAAGCAUUUGCC
rnacentral:rRNA from 1 species